rnacentral:tRNA from 1 species
UGACUUGUAGCUCAAGGGUAGAGCGUUCGGCUGUUAACCGAAAUGUUGUGGGUUCGAAUCCCACCUUGUCAG